GGACCGACCACCGGUGUACCGGUUGUUCCGCCAGGAGCACCGCCGGGUAGCCGCGUCGGGCAAGGAUAAGUGCUGAAAGCAUCUAAGCACGAAGCCCCCCUCAAGAUAAGAUCUCCACAUAAGGGUCGUUAGAGACGAUGACGUAGAUAGGUCGCAGGUGCAGAGGCGGUAACGUCUAUAGCCGAGCGAUACUAAUAACCCAAACCCUUUCC
rnacentral:rRNA from 1 species